UGGAUGCAGAGGAUUAGGAGGACCCUCCUGUUGAGUCACAAGGUUCAGAAUAGACCCCCUUGUUUUCUAAACUCCCUCUCUGAGGGGAGUCUAGGUGUGGCUAGGUCCAAUCUUAGAUGAGGGGG